rnacentral:rRNA from 1 species
UACAGAGGUCUCAAGCGUUGUUCGGAUUCAUUGGGCGUAAAGGGUGCGUAGGUGGCGAGGUAAGUUGGAUGUGAAAUCCUGGGGCUCAACCCUAGAACUGCAUUCAAUACUGCCUUGCUAGAGUACUGGAGAGGAGAUUGGAAUUUACGGUGUAGCAGUGAAAUGCGUAGAUAUCGUAAGGAAGACCAGUGGCGAAGGCGGAUCUCUGGACAGUUACUGACACUGAGGCACGAAGGCCAGGGGAGCAAACGGG